CUCCACGUUUCCAUGGGACCUCCAGUGUGGUAGCAUCCCUUUUUACUCAUUGUAGAGUAACCGUCGCCUUGCCUCUUGGAAAAGAUCCUGCCAUUCAAUUGGGGUUAGCCUCUAACUUGGGCAAGUGACAGAU